rnacentral:rRNA from 1 species
AUUGAACGCUGGCGGAAUGCUUACACAUGCAAGUCGAACGGCAGCACGGACUUCGGUCUGGUGGCGAGUGGCGAACGGGUGAGUAAUGAAUCGGCACGUGCCCCGUUGUGGGGGAUAAAGUAGUGAAUAUGAUGCUAACACCGCAUACGACCUAUGGAUGAAAGCGGGGGAUGGCCAGACUUCGCUGGAUUGGCGGGGACGAGAUCAGAUCAGGUAGUUGGUGGGGUAGAGGCACACCAAGCCAACGGUGUGUAGCUGGGCUGAGAGGACGACCAGCCAGACUGAAACUGAGACACGGUCCAGACUCCGACGGGAGGCAGCAGUGGGGAAUUUUGGACAAUGGGCGAAAGCCUAAUCCAGACAGUCCGCGUGCAGGAUGAAGGCCCUCGGGUUGUAAACUGCUUUUGAACAGAACGAAGAUGUUUCUACUAAUACUGGGAGCUCAUGACGGUACUGUAAGAAUAAGCACCGGCUAACUACGUGCCAGCCGCCGCAGUAA